AGGGAAGACAGACGGACGGAUGGCAGAGGGAAUUUAUAAGUCUACAAUUUUUUUAAAAUUGCAGCCCAAAAACGGGAUUAUUUUAUCUUUUACGUGAAAUAUUUCAAAUCGAUUAAUGUUUUGACGUAACGCCUGACGUAUUUGUCGAAAUAUAAAGUAACGAAUUGUUGAAAUCUAUUGUUUUAUUUUCAAUUGUCCGUCUUCAUUGUUAAUUAAUUAAGUGGAAAAUUUCCCGUUCUUUUCUGAGAUUUUUCCGAAGAAUUGUAAUAAAGUAAACUUCAGUAACGUACAUUCUACGUAAGUGUAAGAUAUUACUUGAUACAGGCGGUCUGAAUUGGAAGUCCUGUGUAGACUGAGGAGGUCCAAGAAGGUCGUCUCGCUCGGAAGAAUAUAAUUGACAUUGGUUAAUUAUUCGAAAAUAAAACGUCUAGCUAUAUCCUUACAAUAAAAUAUUAGCGAUAACAAAUUCUUAGCUUUAAUUAUAUGCUAAUAGUUUAUUUAUUAUCAUUUAUACUCAUUUAUAAAUUAUUUUUAAUUAGAUUUAAUUUUUUAUUUUAAAUUUUUUUACCUUCUAAUGAAAAUUAGAAAUAACUUUUUAAAACUGAUUAAAUUAAAAACAGAGAACCCAAAACAGCGAUAACAGGAAACUCAUCCAAUGGUGAGUCAGCCGCAUCACAUAUGCAAAUGUUCCUUCUGUAAUUACAUAAAAAACUUAAUGAAUCACAUCUUACUUGCAUUAAUACGACCAUAACAUUAGAAGAAAAAUUACUAUCAUAAAUAGAACAAUCAAAAAAAGAGUUUAUUCAAACUCUUAUACCACUCACAAUAAGAACUUAAUAAUAUACUAUGAUUCAACUUCGAAAUAUAAUUAUCAAAAUUAUUUAACUUUAAUAAAUAAACACAGUUAACAUCUUGUAACAAAUUAUCAAAAUCGAUUCCGUUCCUUGAACAAUACUUCGAUCAAGGUAACUCAAUUGUUUCAAGACAGAACGUAAACAAAUCUUACUAAGGCGUUCUUCGUUUAAACUUAACGUUCUAAAAAUCCAAUUAACACAUUUGUUCAAGAUCAAGCAAGAUAAAGGAAUCAAUGAACACUCUAUAGACACUAGAUAACCAGGAGUACACCUUGGAAGCCCAUACAAUCUCUUAACAAAAGUAAGUAAUACUGUAUCCAAGUUCUCCGCCUGAAACCCCCACACCUCGGAAGCAUAAAGAAGAGAUGAGCUCACCACAGCAUUAAACAACCUUAACCGAUCCUUCAAAUUACACAACUUAGCAGACUGACACACAUGAAUAACUUUGUCCAUUUUUAUCUCUGCAUUAACUUUACAGAGUCUGACGUGAGUAUUAAAAUAACCAUUACUUUUAAAAAUUACACCUAAAUACAGUACUUAUAUUGUGAUACAACCGAAAUUGGAACACCUCGGAACCAUCAUUUGUCAGCCUUAGAAGCCUUACCACCAUUUCGAAAGACCACAGUUUUAGAUUUUGCGAGAUUCAAUUGUAAACUAUUAUCCUUUAAAUAUUUAUCCAGAAGGUCAGUCGAACCUGUGUAACGACACCUCGGAGAAUCCUCCACGAUUACCACGUCACCCGCAUACGCUAAUAUCUUAACAGAAACACCACCAACAACUAUAACAUCUCCGCUGGAAUCAUCAAUACACUUCAAUAAAUCAUUUUAAAAUAAACUAAAAAGAAUAGGGCUUAGAAUGCAACCCUGUUUAACAUCCUUAUCAGAAAAGAAAGGUUGAGAACAACAAUUCCUCCAUCUACAUUCUUGAGCCACUCUGUCAGGUGAUCCAGUCUUCUGAUAAAUUCAUCAACCUUACCAUUCAACGAAACAUGCAAUCGCAAUAGAAGCCUAACUCCUGCCACAUCAAAAAUGAUCCUCUUCACCAGAAGUCUUACCCCUAAACCUAGCUGUUGGCGGUUGGAGAAAAGGUCUUCCUCUUCCGAGCCUGGGACAUAUUUAUAAACUAGACUUACCUAGAUAAAGGAAAAACAACAGUUUAAAUCACUUGUUCAAAGAGAAAAUCGGAUAGUCUCCCCGAGUUAUGAUUAAGUUCAAAAUAUUAAAACUUAUCUUUCGUAUUUGCUAAAACUUUCUUUUCUAAUGAAAUUUUGUUUUUAUAUCGGAUUAAAAUUAAAUACUGCAUGUUGUAUUUAUUGUAUCUUAAACAUUUAUAAUUAAAAUUUUUCUUUUUAUUUACUUAGAUGGGCCAUUUUUACUCUAUUCUAAUCACCUUUUUUUCCAUUGGAGACCUCCAGAAUCUUUGUGAAACCAUCAGAAUCUUUGUGAGACCAUCAGAAUCUUUGCGGGACUAUCAGAAUCUUUGCGAGACCAUCGGAAUCUUUGUGGGAUCAUCAGAAUUUUUGUGGGACCAUCAGAAUCUUUGUGGAAAUUACAAUCAGAAAAAUGUGGUCUUAAUGAAGCCUCGUUCCUUCGUUUAAUCUCCAUUCUCUUUGGCAAUUCGCAUGUGUUAUAGCAGCGGUAUAAACAUACAAGACAUUCUUCUUAACACGAGCGUUGAACAAAGACAGAAGGCACCAACACCGGUUAACGUGCUUCAGUUUGCCCUUUUUCUAUUACAGUAAAAUGUAAAUAACAAGUUUUCUUUAUUCUAAAAGAUGUUCGUUUAGUAUUUUCAGUGAACGUAUAUUUCAUUGGCCAUAUUCGUCCAUUUGUUUUAUUAUGGCCUGGAUGUACUUUUAGGUUAUUAGCUUUCAUUGUUACUUGUAGCUUAGAUAGAUUGCAUCCAACUCGUUUAGAUAGUAAUAAUAAGCCACCUCCACGUGGUGAGUUCUGGGUUGUCGUUCUUAUGGAAAUGGCGAAGGACAAGCGAAGAGCUGCGUGUUUCUGUUCAACUUAGUAUUAUAUGAACAAAUUUAAAUAAGUGAAUACACGUAAAAAUAACAAAAGUAAUAAAAUUAAUUAAAGUUAAGAGAAUUAAAUGUUGUGUC